UACGUAGGGUCCGAGCGUUGUCCGGAGUUACUGGGCGUAAAGGGCGCGCAGGCGGCGGUGCUGGCCCGGCGUGAAAGCCCCCGGCUCAACCGGGGAGGUCGUCGGGGACCGCACCGCUUGAGGGCGGUAGGGGCCGGUGGAAUGCCUGGUGUAGUGGUGAAAUGCGUAGAGAAUCAGGCAGAACACCUGGGGCGAAGGCGGCGGCUGGGCCGACCCUGACGCUGAGGCGCGAAGGCGUGGGGAGCGAACGGG
rnacentral:rRNA from 1 species